rnacentral:lncRNA from 1 species
UUAUCUGACCUCCUGCUGCCCUGUGUGAGGACUCUUGGUUAAACUGGGAUCCAGCCCUGCCUUUGUUGGGUUUCUGAGGACUUCUCAUGAACGGGAGGUAUAGUCAUCACUGGAGCUGACAGCCACUGGGGCAAAUACAUAGGCUGGUCUGUGGAACUUUCCUUAGAACAGGAGGCAACAGAACAUUACAGGCCUUUUGACACCCCUCCCCACGAAAGGGUUGACAAGCCCAGAAAGGAUCAAGUCCAGAAAUAAAAAGAAGAGGGCCCUGAUAUGCCUGGAUUAUAAGAAACUCCUGAUAAGGGUAAGAGCAGCAUCAGGCUAAGGGGAUGUAACAGCAGUCUGGUUGACAGUACUCCCCUCUGCCUUAACUUCAGCCUCAUCUCACCAAAGUCCGUUAUGCUUUCCAUCCCUUCAUGCCUUUAUUUUUAGUUUGGGGUAUUUUCUAUUGUUUGAAGGUUGCCUUGCAACCCGUUUGCCUUGAGGCUUUAAACAAUAUAGUUUCUUCGCUGAGCAGCAACAGUAGCCAAGAGAGACUGAAUAUAAACUUUUAAGUCUAUUUUCUCAGAGUUUGUACAUCAGCAAUGGCUUUAAACAGAGUAGCUCACGCCCCCAGCUUGCCUGUCCCUGGGGGAGGGGAGAGGGUGGCUGAUGGGGAACAUGUUGUGUUCUCUUAUCUUCCACGCUAGUGGAAGGGGAUAAGCACCAGAAUAGGAAAACAAAAUAUCUAGCUAUUAAUAUACUCUAGUCCUCCAGCAUGGACUGGAUCUGUUUAUUUGUGAAAGGCAAGGGUGCUUCUCCCUGACCUCUUGGAGCUCUGCCGCCAGCUGGGCGGGAAAUGGUAGAGGUGAUACCGUCCAUAAGGUGAAGGGAACAGAACCGGAGCCGAGGGUCCCAUGAAAAGAGAACUCUUCAGACUUGUGUCAAUAAAAGUGGCUUUUCUGGCUCAAUCCGCCUCAAGCCCCAGCCACCCCAUUCAGGGAAUUACCAAAGAAAGCAAGCACGGAACUAAGAGGAUUUACCAUGAAAGAGUGGCCCGGCCCCACUCCCACCACACAGGUGUCUCCACCACGUUCUUUGUGUGAAACCCAGGAAACCAGAGAACUGGGCAACCUCGCCAGAAAAGAGAACACACAGGUUCCUCAAGACAACCACUUAUUUGGCAGUGAGCAAGGCUAAAAAUGGAAUGCUUCCCAGCCCCAGAGGACAGGGGGCCAGAGGAAAGCAACCCUGCGCAGCUCCGAUCCGGGGUCCUACCUCAGCCCCUUCGUAGUCUGAGUGAAGGAGUGCCUGGUGGCAGUAGUUUUCUAGAUGGUUAGUUAAUGAUAAGCCUUCAGCUGGGAAGAGCCAGAAGGGGGAGAUUUUGUCUGGGGUGGGGAGCAUGCCCAUGCCUCUUAAGCCUGCCAUGUCACGACAGAGGUUCCACAGCACACUUUGACUGCCGAAAGAGGUCUGUCACCCACCAGGGUCAGGCCGCCUCAGGUCCCUGAGACUGUGUGACCAACCAGAAGCCCCAGCUCAAGCACUGGGAGAAGAGAGCAGCGUUGGCAAGUCCGGCCCUCUCUAAGAGCAAACAGGGACAAAGGUCCUUGUACUUACAGCUGUUUCUCCCAUCCUGCCUGCUGUGUCACAUGCCCCAGUUUGUUCUGGUGUUGCUGCAUUAGGCAGAAACCUGCCAUCUCUGUGCCUGCAGGGAUACCCACUAUCCCAGGUCUGUUCCCAGGUGGGAUACCUGAGCAGCAGCGAAGGCUUUGGCAUCCAGUAGCUUUGAAACAGAAGCUGCUGUGUCUUCACCUGUUCAGUUGGGAGCCAGAUGUCAUGAGCUAUCAUCAAAGAAUGCAUGAGAGGAAAGAAUUUGAAUAAAAGCUGGCUCCCCUACCUGUCUGAAAAAAGCGGGGCUCCGUGUGUAAACCCCAGCUCGUCAGGCAUUCUCAGAAUUUGAGCAAACUCCCUUUGUGAUUAUUUCUUAUGCUACAUUUUAUUGUCACCCAGUGUGUUUGAAUUUGUCUCUGCUCCAGCAGGUCUGGAAACCCAUUGGGUUUCUGUGUGAGAAUUCAAACAAGCGGAGGCCAUGGAGUUUGCCAAGUGUCGCCGGGCCCGGCACCAACUUGACAGGAUAGAGGGCAGGAGAAAGAAGGCUUGGACGUAAUGAAUCAUUGAGGCUCUGGCCCACAGCCUUCCUCCUGGGAUUAGUAUCAGGAGAGUCGUCUUUGUUUUUCCUUCUUUGUACCUAAGAAUGGCCUUCAGCCCCAACUGACGGGGCUGUCGCUGCUGACUUUACUGACUUCCAUACAGAUGAUGUGAUGAUCUUGUUUAAUUUCUGCCUGAAACCCAUGAGGUAGAAUCAGCACUGACCCACUUAUAGGUGAGGACCAAGGCUCAGAGAAGUUGGGUAACAACGUCUGAGUUGAUCUGCUUUGUGUAUCUGCAGUUGCGACUUGCUAGCACCCUGUUCUAAAAGGACAAAAGGAAAGAAUAUGAGGACAAUGUCUCUGUGGCUGCAGUUAUGCACAGUCUUCUUAGAGUCUGGGAAAGAGGAAAUACUGGGGAAUGAUACUGGCUAAGUUAUACUGUUAUAUCUUGUGCAUAAGAUGUAACAAUGAAUCUCACCAUUAUGGACAAUUAUAG